ACGAGUGGCGGACGGGUGAGUAAUGCUUGGGAACUUGCCUUUGCGAGGGGGAUAACAGUUGGAAACGACUGCUAAUACCGCAUAAUGUCUUCGGACCAAACGGGGCUUCGGCUCCGGCGCAAAGAGAGGCCCAAGUGAGAUUAGCUAGUUGGUAAGGUAACGGCUUACCAAGGCGACGAUCUCUAGCUGUUCUGAGAGGAAGAUCAGCCACACUGGGACUGAGACACGGCCCAGACUCCUACGGGAGGCAGCAGUGGGGAAUAUUGCACAAUGGGGGAAACCCUGAUGCAGCCAUGCCGCGUGUGUGAAGAAGGCCUUCGGGUUGUAAAGCACUUUCAGUUGUGAGGAAAAGUUAGUAGUUAAUACCUGCUAGCCGUGACGUUAACAACAGAAGAAGCACCGGCUAACUCCGUGCCAGCAGCCGCGGUAAUACGGAGGGUGCGAGCGUUAAUCGGAAUUACUGGGCGUAAAGCGCACGCAGGCGGUUUGUUAAGCUAGAUGUGAAAGCCCCGGGCUCAACCUGGGAUGGUCAUUUAGAACUGGCAGACUAGAGUCUUGGAGAGGGGAGUGGAAUUCCAGGUGUAGCGGUGAAAUGCGUAGAUAUCUGGAGGAACAUCAGUGGCGAAGGCGACUCCCUGGCCAAAGACUGACGCUCAU
rnacentral:rRNA from 1 species